GCUAAAUGAUGAUUGCUCCGUACGAACUCUACUUUGCAAGGACAUCCAGUUUGCUGAAUGUCGAGGGGGUCUCUGUAGAUGCCUACCCGGGUAUAAUUCAGACGGCACGGGAUACAAUUGUACAGAAAUCGACGAAUGCCAGUCCAGCCCAUGUCUAAAUGGCGGGUCGUGCAAUAAUGAGGUCGACAGAUUCACGUGCACCUGUGAUGCCGGUUGGAAUGGAACACACUGUCAGCAAAACAUUAACGAUUGUCUACCUAACCCUUGCUCAAACGGGGCCACUUGUCAAGAUGGCGUGAACACAUUCACGUGCAAUUGUACUGCCGGAUACGCAGGUCCCCUCUGUGCCACAGAUAUCAACGAAUGCCUUUCAAGCGAAUGCAAAAAUGGCUCUACCUGUGUAGAUUUGGUUAAUGCAUACAAGUGCGUGUGCCCCACUGGAUACACCGGGGGUUUAUGCGAAACAG